rnacentral:rRNA from 1 species
UACGGGGGGGGCAAGCGUUGUUCGGAAUUACUGGGCGUAAAGGGCUCGUAGGUGGCCAACUAAGUCGGACGUGAAAUCCCUCGGCUUAACCGGGGAACUGCGUCCGAUACUGGUUGGCUUGAGUUUGGGAGAGGGAUGCGGAAUUCCAGGUGUAGCGGUGAAAUGCGCAGAUAUCAGGAGGAACACCGGUGGCGAAGGCGGCUUGCUGGGCCUUACCUGACGCUGAGGAGCGAAAGCGUGGGGAGCGAACAGG